AUGUGGCUUGAGGGACAUGGAAACUUGCUCUGUUCCUUGUGGAAUUCACCAAACAUACGGUCAAAUCUCUUCGAUCCCCACGUUGUCUUCCUGGGUGGAACCAGACAGACACCCCGACGCGAGGGGCAGCACGGAAGCAACGCAGUUGACUCCAGUCACAGUAUUUUGCUGUAUUUGCUGUAGUGCAGCAUAACAGGCAAGAACAUAUUACAUGAUGUGCUUUCAUCUUUUGGAAGUUAUGGAAUAGCCAGCAUUGUUUUCCUUAUUCUUUAGGUUACAUUUGUUGUGUGGCCAUGAGCGAUAUUACCGGGAACACUUGUGCUAUCGUUAUACUAACCAACAAAAUAUUUACUAGAAUCAUCUGUCUCUCAAGAUACUAAUCAAAGAAGUUAUUUGAAAUUUCAGUCAGAUGGGUGCUUCUGAAAAUUAUUCAUUUGAAAAAAUCCCGGACUGGAUCCCCAUAACUACAUUAUUAGAACUGUAUAUCAGCAAAGGCAUUUACUCUUCCAUCCUCUUUUGUACGCUUUGUUAAGUCGGAGACCCAAAUCAGCAUGAAAUGCUUGCCAAGGGAAUGGAGAAAUGUAUUCAGAUUUAAUCUAGUGAUUAUGGUUCACUCGUUGCAAACAGCUCCUUCAUCAAGGCCAUCAGGUUAAUUAUUAACCUCUCCCAUCUACAAAUAGAAAAAUACCUCCAGUCACGAGGAAUCAAUGCAGAAGGAGAAGGUUACACCGGGUAUGUGUAUGAAACACCCACAGCCAGGCUCAUUCCUCUGAUCUGCCAAAACACCAGCAAGGCUGCUGCUGCCUGCUGACACUGGGCAAGGAGAGCCCCAGCCCCCAAAAUUGGCCAGACCCCAGUAAGGAGCCCUGGGCUGCCCCGAGCUUGGCAUGGGGCUGGACCUCUCCAGCCCCAGGGUGCACCCUGACCUUGAUGUCCAGCAGAGCACUGGUUUCAAGCAGCUGGGGAGCAGGCACAGAGCAGGUAAUAACUUCUGGGUAAUUAAGUCAGGUUAGAGGCACAUAAAUAGAGCAGCAAUUGGCAGGUAUGUGUUGUUGGUCCUUCUAGCCACCACUGGCACGGAUCUCCAGGCUCUGCAAGCAGGUAAGGGAAGCGUUUCUGGGUGCAGUCUGCGGGAAGAACCCUGGGAGAAGAUUUUCGCUUGAGCUUUCUUCCCAGCAAAGAGUUAUGGAGGCCAAUGGAGCCAAACAGGGUGGAAGAAGGGCUCUGGCAGUGGUGGGAAGAAAGGAGAGGGCAGGUAAAGGGUGAUGAGUGGGAAAUGAUGGAAAAGGAACAGGUAAAUGGGAGUAUGGCAGUAAAGGGAGAUCCAGGUGAAUUUGUGGUACUCUAAAAUGUAUCCAGAGGAAAGGAGUUAGAAGAAAAAAAAAUUGAAAAAAAAAAAAAAAAGAAGAGAGAGAGAGAGAAAAAAAAGGAGAGAGAAAACAAUAAAAUCAACUCAGAAGAGAGUCAGUCCCUCUUGCCCUGUCUUUAGCAGGGAGCCCAUCAUUUCGAAGGGAAGCUCUCAGGAGCAGGAGCGCUUCCCCACAACCUCCCCUCUGAAGCCAGGGCAGUCCUGGGACAGCCCCUGAUCACAGCACAGCAGCCACUUGUGUCGGGACAUAAAAUCACCCUGUAUCGGCUAGUACAAAACCAGCAUCUUGCUUUACAUGCUCCCCUUAAACCAUAUUUUUGCUAUUAUAUCAAAGUGCUCAGAGCUUUGAGAAUAAAAGCUUCUGAAGGCAGAUGCAAUUAACAAAGCAACCACAAAACUUCAUCUUUGGCCUGUGGAUUUUUAAAGAACUAAAAUAAUUCCUCAAAGGCACAUAAAGAAAUCAGGCAUCUGGACCACGUGGGGGAAUUUUCCCCGGGAAGCUAAGAAAGGCUGCAUUUACUGACCAGGGACAGCACACAACUCCCUGGCAUCAGUGCUAGGGAGGGAGAGCUGGGCAUCGCUGCUGCCCCUGCACCAGCUCAGGUCCUCAGUGCUGAACCAGCCAUGUUGUUAAUGCCUGAGGCAGAAGUGACUACAUUUUUUCUUUUUUUCUUCAUUUCAAACGGAAUAGGCUGACAAAGACAAAAGCAAAGUACCAGUCACUGUUAACAGAGUGACAUUUCUGCACUUCAGCUGAGCCCUCCCCAUCUCAUCACUUCUGAAAUGAGUCAUUUUGCUCCAAAAAAAAAACAGGCACCAGUGGUAAGAUUGUAUUGAGCUUUGAGAAGUACUGCACAGCUUCAAAAGAAAUAAACUUCUUUUAAAAAGCAUCAUUAAAUGUAUGCUGUAAGCCAAGUUUGCUAACCAAACAUUACACAUUUAAACCAGUCACAUUAAAAGAGGACGAGUUUUUUUCCAAGCUGCAUGCACUGCUUUCAAACCCUAGCUGAGAGCAAGGGCUGAGAGGUCUCUCAGCAGAGGGGACUUUCUCCUGCUUCUAAUAAAAAAUCCCAUCUGCCUCACUGGUGUGUUCCUAAAUAAGGGCAAAUGGAAAAACAGGAACCAUCCUUGCCUUUAACACGAUCAAUACAACUGCCAAAAAACAGCAUGUAUUUAAUAAAUGCAAUGUGGAUUGUUUUAUUUGACCUUCUCUUCACAAAAUAAUUUUAUUAUAUGUAUGAAAGCAGCAUACAGGCAAUAAAAUUAUGAAAACAUUCACAAUACAUAAAUACACAGACCUGAUGCAGGAUGUAUAGAGUUCAUUAGAUUUAUUUUUUUUUCCUCUCAGUUCUCUUUUCCUGACAACACAUUUUUUGAUAUAUGUUACGAAAAGUUUCUUCGGAGGGUAUUUGCACCCAUUCAGAAAACAAAUCGCUCUCUUUGAAUGCUGCUGAAUAUUAACACCCAGCGGUCCUGUUGCUAAUGUUCACUGAUUGCUUUUGGCAUUACAAAGGGAAAGCAGCGGGGGUAGGACAAUGGAAAAGUAGCAGUUUUUGAACUGAACAUUGGCAACUCUGGUUUGGAGCUCACAGGACGUUUUUGAGGUGGGGACUGCAGUUCCAUCCAUAGUUAGAAACGUCUUAAUCCCAAAUGGAAAUGAGGCACUAUUCCUUAUUGAACAGACUGUUGGCAUGGUAAUUACUAAAAUGUAAUGUCCUCCCAGCUUCCAAAGUAAAGCACUAGGUACCUCACUUUUUAACUCUGACUGAUACAGGAGCAGACAGACAGCAUGAUCCUGGUGUUGCUGCAGUAAUACAGAUGAUAAUGAGGUUUGGCAUGUUUCCUACCAUUGUAACCAACCGUGUUUGUUCAGAAAAGAUAUCCAAGACUUGAAAUAAGAAAAGUCUGAGAAAGCUGUUUAUAUUACAUAAAUACAAAACAUUAUAUACUAAGAAUUGUUAUCUAAGAAGCUUUUCUUCUCAAAUUGGAUUCUUCUUAAGGUUGUAGUCAUAUUUAAGGUAUUUACAGAUCCACAAACUUGACAUUCUAGCAAAGUCUUUGUAACUUGAAACUUUUUUAAAAAUAAAUAGCAGCAAUUUCUUUUAUUUCUAUAAGGGAAGAGAAUUCACAACUCAGUCAACGCUGGUCCUAUCUUUUGAAAGAAAUCCCACUUAAAAACAAAAGGCCAUAAACAAACAAACUCCACACCACAUCAGUUUUGUUGAUUCCUUCAUCUCUUGCUGAGCUUCUCAGCCUUCCUUCAUACCCUCACUGGCUCUCCAGGCUACCGGAGCUUUUAAUAAAGUGCUGACUGGUUGACUGGCCAAAAUGCAGUUAUGACACUCCAAAAAUAUCCCAUUAUUUAGACAUCUUAAAUAACAUAAAUAAAGCUAGAUCUCUUAUAACAUAGGAAAAAUAUCAAUUUAAAACAAUAAAUAAAUAAAACCGGUAUCAACAUAUUACCUCCCAAAGCUUUAAAAAUAACCAUUCUCAUUAUAAGGCUCAAUUAUUUUUUAGAAAUAAUUUUAAGAAGGCCUCUACCUACCUUUACAAUCCCUCAGCCUUAAAUUAGGACCUGUUAACACCCACUAUCACAAAACACAGCAAUCUUUUAACUUCUAGUAAACAUUAAUCUUUAAAUACUUAACAUUUAUCUUUUGCCUCAUUUCAAAUUAGAAAUUGGCUUCUCUAGGUGUAGAGGAGAAAUAUUUUCUUUAUUACUGCCCUGUAUCCAAAUUCCUAUUUAUUCCUCAGCAUGAAGAGUACAGAUGAACAUCCUUUUUUUUUAACCAGUUUUCAUUAUCUUUUGCUGUUUAGUGUUUUAAAUAUUAAAUUUGAUUUCAAUGCCAGGAAAAAUAAUUUUGGGCUUUGUGUAAAUGUGUAUUUCUCCCUAGAGCUUAGUUUUUUUUAAAAAAAAGAUUAUUACAAUGCACACUAUUGGGUCU
rnacentral:lncRNA from 1 species